CUUCGGAUGAUUGAUUGGUGACUGAGUGGCGGACGGGUGAUAACGCGUGGGUAACCUGCCCUGUACAGGGGAUAACAGUUGGAAACGGCUGCUAAUACCGCAUAAGCGCACGAGAGGACAUCCUCUUGUGUGAAAAACUCCGGUGGUACAGGAUGGGCCCGCGUCUGAUUAGCUGGUUGGCAGGGUAACGGCCUACCAAGGCGACGAUCAGUAGCCGGUCUGAGAGGAUGAACGGCCACAUUGGAACUGAGACACGGUCCAAACUCCUACGGGAGGCAGCAGUGGGGAAUAUUGCACAAUGGGGGAAACCCUGAUGCAGCAAUGCCGCGUGAGUGAAGAAGUAUUUCGGUAUGUAAAGCUCUAUCAGCAGGGAAGAUAAUGACGGUACCUGACUAAGAAGCUCCGGCUAAAUACGUGCCAGCAGCCGCGGUAAUACGUAUGGAGCAAGCGUUAUCCGGAUUUACUGGGUGUAAAGGGUGCGUAGGUGGCAGUGCAAGUCAGAUGUGAAAGGCCGGGGCUCAACCCCGGAGCUGCAUUUGAAACUGCAUAGCUAGAGUACAGGAGAGGCAGGCGGAAUUCCUAGUGUAGCGGUGAAAUGCGUAGAUAUUAGGAGGAACACCAGUGGCGAAGGCGGCCUGCUGGACUGUUACUGAC
rnacentral:rRNA from 1 species